UACAGAGGUCCCAAGCGUUGUUCGGAUUCACUGGGCGUAAAGGGUGCGUAGGUGGUUGUGCAAGUCUGAUGUGAAAUCUCCGGGCUUAACCCGGAAAUGGCAUUGGAAACUGCAUGGCUAGAGGGUUGGAGGGGGGACUGGAAUACUUGGUGUAGCAGUGAAAUGCGUAGAUAUCAAGUGGAACACCAGUGGCGAAGGCGAGUCUCUGGACAUUUCCUGACGCUGAGGCACGAAAGCCAGGGGAGCAAACGGG
rnacentral:rRNA from 1 species